rnacentral:rRNA from 1 species
GUCUACGGCCAUACCACCCUGAAUGCGCCCAAUCUUGUCUGAUCUUGGAAGCUAAGCACGGUCAGGCCUGGUUAGUACUUGGAUGGGAGUAUGAAAUUUUAGUCUUAGUUC